rnacentral:rRNA from 1 species
UACGGAGGAUCCGAGCGUUAUCCGGAUUUAUUGGGUUUAAAGGGUGCGUAGGCGGUUUAUUAAGUCAGGGGUGAAAGACGGCAGCUUAACUGUCGCAGUGCCUUUGAUACUGAUGAACUUGAAUGUACUAGAAGUAGGCGGAAUGUGACAAGUAGCGGUGAAAUGCAUAGAUAUGUCACAGAACACCGAUUGCGGAGGCAGCUUACUAUGGUAUGAUUGACGCUGAGGCACGAAAGCGUGGGGAUCAAACAGGAUUAGAUACCCUGGUAGUCCACGCCCUAAACGAUGAACACUCGAUGUUGGCGAUAUACGGUCAGCGUCAAAGCGAAAGCGUUAAGUGUUCCACCUGGGGAGUACGCCCGCAAGGGUGAAACUCAAAG